rnacentral:rRNA from 1 species
CCUACGGGAGUCAGCAGUGGGGGAUAUUGCACAAUGGGGGAAACCCUGAUGCAGCGACGCCGCGUGGGCGAAGAAGUAUUUCGGUAUGUAAAGCCCUAUCAGCAGGGAAGAAGAAAUGACGGUACCUGAGUAAGAAGCACCGGCUAAAUACGUGCCAGCAGCCGCGGUAAUACGUAUGGUGCAAGCGUUAUCCGGAUUUACUGGGUGUAAAGGGAGCGCAGGCGGCACGGCAAGCCUGAUGUGAAAGCCCGGGGCCCAACCGCGGGACUGCAUUGGGAACUACCGGGCUGGAGUGCCGGAGAGGUAGGCGGAAUGCCUAGUGUAGCGGUGAAAUGCGUAGAUAUUAGGAGGAACACCAGUGGCGAAGGCGGCCUACUGGACGGUGACUGACGCUGAGGCUCGAAAGCGUGGGGAGCAAACAGGAUUAGAUACCCUAGUAGUC